rnacentral:lncRNA from 10 species
UCCGGGCGCGGUGGCUCAUGCCUGUAAUCCCAGCACUUUGGGAGGCCCAGGCGGGUGGAUCACCUGAGGUCAGGAGUUCCAGAUCAUCCUGCCCAACAUGAUGAAACCCCAUCUCUACUGAAAAUACCAAAAUUAGCUGGGCAUGGCGGCAGGUGCCGGUAAUCCCAGCUACUCAGGAGGCUGAGGCAGGAAAAUCACUUGAACCCAGGAGAUGGGGUUUUGCCAUGUUGGCCAGGCUGCUCUCAAACUCCUGAACUCAGGUGAUCCUCCUAC